rnacentral:misc_RNA from 1 species
AGAAGUAAAAGUCGUAACAAGGUCUCCGUUGGUGAACCAGCGGAGGGAUCAUUACCGAGUGCAAACUCAUAACCCUUUGUGAACCUAUAUCUGUUGCUUCGGCGGCUCGCUCUCGGGCGAGCCCGCCGGUAAUAUCAGUAUCUCUGUUUGAACCCGACGAUACUUCUGAGUGUUCUUAGCGAACAGUUAAAACUUUUAACAACGGAUCUCUUGGCUCUA